rnacentral:snRNA from 1 species
UCCCGGUGCAGAGACCAGCAA